rnacentral:tRNA from 1 species
UGGCGGGUUGUCCGAGUGGUUAAGGAGUCCGGCUUAAGAUAUAUAUUAUCUAAGCAAUCCGGAUGCGUAAUGCAUCGUCGGUUCGAUCCCGACACCCGCUA